UACGUAGGGUGCAAGCGUUAAUCGGAAUUACUGGGCGUAAAGGGCGCGUAGGCGGCCAUCUAAGUCAGACGUGAAAUCCCCCGGCUUAACCUGGGAACUGCGUCUGAUACUGGAAGGCUUGAGUAUGGGAGAGGGAUGUAGAAUUCCAGGUGUAGCGGUGAAAUGCGUAGAUAUCUGGAGGAACACCGGCGGUGUAGACGGCUUUCUGGACCGUAGCUGACGCUGAGACACGAAAGCGUGGGUAGCAAACAGG
rnacentral:rRNA from 1 species